rfam:Firmicutes bacterium CAG:114 genomic scaffold, scf99
AGAUGUCUUCAGGGCGGGGUGAAAGUCCCCACCGGCGGUAAAGUCCGCGAGCCCCUUGGCCACAGGCCCAGGAGAGCCGACCCGGUGCAAUUCCGGGACCGACAGUGACAGUCUGGAUGGGAGAAGACGUGC